rnacentral:rRNA from 1 species
AUGCCGAACUCCGUCAAGAAACCAGCGCCCUGGCCUGAUCCGCAGAGCGCCACCGCGUCGGAUAUGCCUUCCAGGCAGCGUCUCCCGCACAGUUCUCACCCGAUCGUGCGGCAAAUCCGUCUCUGCAGGCAAAUGGAGGCAGCGGUUAGGUCCCUUUCAUUGUGGUUGCAGGAUAUUAUUAUUAUUCAGGAACAUGAAAACUGGACCAAAGAAAAGAGGAAAAGGCAUCCAGUUCUUUUUGAGAAAUGGAAAGAUGAUAGGCUGAGAAUCAUAUGCAAAGUUAAGGAGCAAUCAAUGGUGAUGGCUCUUCCCUGCAGGGAAGCAUCUAUACAUACACGUAUAAUGUUUGUAAUAGUUGCAGCAUCUAUACAUACACCAGAGCAUGGCUUUAAAUUCAUGCACACCUUUAGAAAAAGGUAA